AGUCAAAUCAUUAGUUUGGCAGAUUUCAAAUGAGAAAAUUGUAAAAAUACGAAAAUUAAUUGAAAAUCUAAAAAUAAUCCUUUCUUCAAAAUUACAAAGUUUCAUAUUUCACCAUGUGUAGUCCGGUAUUAGAUUUGCCAAGGUAUAAAGAACCACCACAAUACAUACCUUGUAUUCCAGUUAAGGGCCCUCCUUGUCUACCAUGUGGCAUGGAUCCAGUUACAUUGCGACGUCCACUGAUUGUGCACGAUAGCACCUUUGACUACAGACCCACCAGUUGGCCGGGAAUGGUGCUCAAUAAUCAAGACAAAAAAGUGCGAUACCAACUCAUAAAUUACGAUCGACCGGUUAAGCCGCAUUAUCCUGCAUGUUCACCGACAUAUGUAUAGGCACAAAUAUAUAAUUAAAUUAAAAAACAAAAUCAAACAAAAAUGUGCGAUCGGAUGAACGUUAUCGGCCAAUUACAAACAAUUAUGUCUGCAAUACAGGGCGGGUGUGGCGGUUGCCACGGAGGCUGUUGCCGGCCUUGCGCACCCCCUUGCUGUGGAUCGGCUGGCUCCCUCGUGACAGUUUACAGUCAAGUAGCACAUAUUCAGUGAACCGCCGCGGCUAUCGCGCUUCUGCGGAUCAAAUGCAGUACUAGCAGUAGGGCAACCGCCGCGGCCGGUGGCAGCCUUCGACAAGGCUGUCAUUGAAGUGGGCCAUCACUGAGCAGCUAGUAAUAAUUGUCCGUUUGUGAUCUGUGAAAAUUCACUUGUGCAGUUUUAUAUGAUGUUUUUGUGGCCUGUAAUCAAUAAAUAUUUUAAUCUUA